AUCCGGCUAACGAGUCCCAAAUAGGAUGAAACGCGCUUCCUGGAU
rnacentral:hammerhead_ribozyme from 1 species